rnacentral:rRNA from 1 species
AGAGCGAACGCUGGCGGCAGGCCUAACACAUGCAAGUCGAACGGACCCUUCGGGGUUAGUGGCGGACGGGUGAGUAACACGUGGGAACGUGCCUUUAGGUUCGGAAUAGCUCCUGGAAACGGGUGGUAAUGCCGAAUGUGCCCUUCGGGGGAAAGAUUUAUCGCCUUUAGAGCGGCCCGCGUCUGAUUAGCUUGUUGGUGAGGUAAUGGCUCACCAAGGCUACGAUCAGUAGCUGGUCUGAGAGGAUGACCAGCCACAUUGGGACUGAGACACGGCCCAAACUCCUACGGGAGCAGCAGUGGGGAAUCUUGCGCAAUGGGACGAAAGCCUGACGCAGCCAU